UAUAUAUAUAUAUAUAAAAUAAAAAGGUGUUUUUAAAAAUUUUGAUAGAUAAUAUAUAUUAAUUAUAUAUAUUUAUAUAGAUAGAUUUUAAUUAUUUUUAUUAUGAAAUCUUUAUUAAAAAAUUGAGAGAGAAAAAGUUUAGUUUACAUAAAAAGUAAUGAAAUAAAAUAUGGAGUAAUUAACAAUAAAUUUAAAAUAUUAUUUUAUUUAUUAAUAUUAAAUUAAAAAAUAUAUAAAUUAAAAUUAUUAAUAGUAAUGUACAAUACAAGCAAUUUCCAAAUUCACAAAUAGGACAAAGAUCUUAAGAGGGAUUGACGUGUCUGGUUGGGGUUGCACCAUUGCUGUUGGGAUCAUCUCAACUUCUAGAAAUUAAUGAUCACUGAACAGUCAUGCGGCAGUAGCUAUCUAUUCUAGGUUUGGCUGCAUAUAUAGAAUGCGCCAAAUUACAAUUUAUAGCAGCUGCCUUGAAGGGGUGACCUGAACCUGCAGAAGAAUUGCAACUCUCAACUGCCAAUGGCUGCAAUCGAAACAUAAUUUUAUGAGAUAGCAAAAUGAUAAAGAUUUCUUAACAAUUACAAAGAAGGUAUGCAGGACGACCACAUGCAAAUGAGAGAAAUUACGCUGGCACAAAUAAAACUGCUCAACAUGCGUGCCAAAAAACUUCCCUUGCAAACAUGUUCUAGAUCUCUGGUCUGGUGUCAUAAGACCUUCAGGUAGAGAAUUUAAACGCCAAAAUUUAUUUGUUUGUAUGCAUGCGCCCGAAGCAGAUGCCCAAGAGAAUGAAAUUUUAGAGUGCAUGUAUACUAUCUCUUUGCUAAAGUAUGAAAGAGGUGUUGCCUGUUUACCGCUCUUAAGGUUGCCCUUCUACCUUGCGGGACUCUGCUGUAGUUUGUAAUCUUUAUGUGUGUUUUUCGUCCUCCUUUGUUUUGCACUUGGUUUGUCCUCUCAAAGAAUUAUAGAAACACUGGAUUUUAUAUGUUCAUCAAGCUUUUGGGUGAAGGAUGGAAUUUCCAACUUCUCUAUGCUUCUAUGUUCCCCUUUCACACUUUUUGGAGGAAGUGUAUUGUCAGAUUUGUCGUAUGUACUUUUCUGUGGGUUUGAUUCUUGUUGUAUUUUAAUUUCCUUGAGAAAAACUUGGAGAUGGUGCUUUGGAAUAAGCCAUGCACACUGGUCCAUCAAAAGAUGCCUUGCCCAUUGCAGGCGUCAAUGGGUACCAUAUAUUAAGAUUAAAAUUCUUUACAUAAUUCUUUUUUGGCACUUUG
rnacentral:misc_RNA from 1 species